AUGGAAGGCGGAUAUGAAGGCGAUAAAGAGCCUGAGCCCAAGCAAGUAUUCACAGAGAAGCAAAAGAAGUGGGCUAAGGAUUUUUUGACGACACCGUCCCAAGCCGAGCUGAAUAUGCCUGACGACUAUGGACAUAAACUUCGUAGGCAAGCAAAAAUAUUGAAGGAGGAGAAAGAAGAAAGUAAAAAAAGCGGGAAACAAGUAGACCAGCUCGGGAUGCAGAAGAAACAAUCGAUCCCCCCGCUCAUAGUGAAAGCCGGUCCGGAAGAGGACCCCGAGAUCAUAGCAGCUGCGGCAGCACUUGGAUUGACUGUAGCGAGUGCCAUGAAACAAGCGUCCGAGAUGGGUUUGACUCUUCGUGCCUUCUUAGGCCUUGAGGAUGCGCCAGUAUGUGAGAUAGCAUUACAAUAUGUGCGGAAUGGGCCUCUCGUCGAGCCUGCGCGGGAAAAGAGUCUACCACCACAAAUGCGAAAUCUGCUACGUUGGUACAAGCAAUUCAUAACAUGGGCCGACAAAGAAUAUGUUUAUGCGGAUGUUACAGAUGAGCAUCACACCAAACCGUACUCUGUACAAGUUCAUAUGAGUGAAUUGUUCCAGCUGUUCAAUCUGCGCGACCUCGACAAAUCUAUGCUGAGUUGCUACGUUCUGUAA
rnacentral:rRNA from 1 species